AAGUCGUAACAAGGUUUCCGUAGGUGAACCUGCGGAAGGAUCAUUACUGAACUGUCGACACGAGUUGUUGCUGGUCCUCGAAAGGGGGCAUGUGCACACUCUGUUUACACAUCCACUCACACCUGUGCACCCUCUGCAGUUCUAUGGCAUCGGGGACUCUGUCCUCUUGCUGUGGUCCUACGUCUUUACACACACACCAUAACACAGUCUCAUGGAAUGUAUGUCGCGUUUAACGCAAUACAAUACAACUUUCAGCAACGGAUCUCUUGGCUCUC
rnacentral:misc_RNA from 1 species